UGGGGAAUAUUGGACAAUGGGGGGAACCCUGAUCCAGCAAUGCCGCGUGUGUGAAGAAGGCCUUCGGGUUGUAAAGCACUUUAGGUGGGGAAGAAGGUGUUUAGUUUAAGAGAUGAAACACUUGACGGUACUCACAGAAUAAGCACCGGCUAACUCUGUGCCAGCAGCCGCGGUAAUACAGAGGGUGCAAGCGUUAAUCGGAAUUACUGGGCGUAAAGGGCGCGUAGGUUGUUGCGUAAGUGAGAAGUGAAAUCCCCGGGCUUAACCUGGGAACUGCUUCUUAAACUGCGUAACUGGAGUGCAAUAGAGGGUAGUGGAAUUUCCGGUGUAGCGGUGAAAUGCGUAGAUAUCGGAAGGAACACCAGUGGCGAAGGCGGCUACCUGGAUUGACACUGACACUGAGGCGCGAGAGCGUGGGGAGCAAACAGGAUUAGAUACCCCCGUAGUCC
rnacentral:rRNA from 1 species